rnacentral:rRNA from 1 species
UGUCCCACCAGCCGCGGUAAUACAGAGGGUGCAAGCGUUAAUCGGAUUUACUGGGCGUAAAGCGCGCGUAGGCGGCUAAUUAAGUCAAAUGUGAAAUCCCCGAGCUUAACUUGGGAAUUGCAUUCGAUACUGGUUAGCUAGAGUGUGGGAGAGGAUGGUAGAAUUCCAGGUGUAGCGGUGAAAUGCGUAGAGAUCUGGAGGAAUACCGAUGGCGAAGGCAGCCAUCUGGCCUAACACUGACGCUGAGGUGCGAAAGCAUGGGGAGCAAACAGGAUUAGAUACCCUGGUAGUCCAUGCCGUAAACGAUGUCUACUAGCCGUUGGGGCCUUUGAGGCUUUAGUGGCGCAGCUAACGCGAUAAGUAGACCGCCUGGGGAGUACGGUCGCAAGACUAAAACUCAAAUGAAUUGACGGGGGCCCGCACAAGCGGUGGAGCAUGUGGUUUAAUUCGAUGCAACGCGAAGAACCUUACCUGGCCUUGACAUAGUAAGAACUUUCCAGAGAUGGAUUGGUGCCUUCGGGAACUUACAUACAGGCGCUGCAUGGCUGUCGUCAGCUCGUGUCGUGAGAUGUUGGGUUAAGUCCCGCAACGAGCGCAACCCUUUUCCUUAUUUGCCAGCGAGUAAUGUCGGGAACUUUAAGGAUACUGCCAGUGACAAACUGGAGGAAGGCGGGGACGACGUCAGUCAUCAUGGCCCUUACGGCCAGGGCUACACACGUGCUACAAUGGUCGGUACAAAGGGUUGCUACCUAGCGAUAGGAUGCUAAUCUCAAAAAGCCGAUCGUAGUCCGGAUUGGAGUCUGCAACUCGACUCCAUGAAGUCGGAAUCGCUAGUAAUCGCGGAUCAGAAUGCCGCGGUGAAUACGUUCCCGGGCCUUGUACACACCGCCCGUCACACCAUGGGAAUUUGUUGCACCAGAAGUAGCUAGCCUAACUGCAAAGAG